rnacentral:rRNA from 1 species
UACAGAGGUCUCAAGCGUUUGUUCGGAUUCAUUGGGCGUAAAGGGUGCGUAGGUGGCGCCGUAAGUCAGGUGUGAAAUCUCGGGGCUUAACUCCGAAACUGCAUUUGAUACUGCGGUGCUUGAGGACUGGAGAGGAGACUGGAAUUUACGGUGUAGCAGUGAAAUGCGUAGAGAUCGUAAGGAAGACCAGUGGCGAAGGCGGGUCUCUGGACAGUUCCU